GGGUUUGGAUGUGCUACUAAGUGAAGGAAAAGGCUAAAGGUUGAUGGUCGAAGUCAUAGUCAUGAGCAUGACAAAGGCAUUCGCAUUAAGGUCUCCUAGGCGGAGCGAAAGGGACUCCUGAGAACUCAUGACAUGAUUGUCAUGACACGCGCGUCAUGUAGGUCAUGAAACAGCCGCCUACUUCUUGGUUCUCUCAUGGCCAUUUUGUUACCUUGGUAGGCUCCCCGCACAAUGCUUCGCAUAACAUCGAUUCCCACAGGGCGUGAGAUCUGCCGGCCUUUUUUAUUUUUUCCCCUCUUCCUCAGAGCUCAAGCCAUCCUCAGCUCACGCCUGCGAUUACGACUCCACCCUGGGAUAGAAAGUGGCAUCCGUAGAUACAAUCACGAAUUUAUUGACAUCGCCAAAAGCCGCCUUGCUGUUUGGUGCUGUACCGCAAGGAAGCCGUACACCCUGCUUUUGUCUAGCGAUACAGUGGAAUAUGAUGCAGAUGGAUCUGGCUACGGGGACUUCUCUGCUCUUCCCUCAUUUGGCGCGCUACCAGCCGCGACGACGAAGACGCGGCCGUCGCCGCCGAGGUCUUGCGCCUCUCGCAGGUAUACAAGUAGCAGCCACCGUCCCUACAGACGUGCACGCACAAAGCAAGGUCGUCGGUCACUAGAGAGAGGCCCCACGACGACGGAACAACGGCGACGCGGCGGGCGAGAGCAGGCACGCAUGGAACGCCGUUUUCCCGUGAGGAAGCCAUUUCACACCAUGCCUACCCGGUGCAGUGCGGAAGGAGCCACCGCGCUGACGCGGCGAAGGCAGCAACUGCACUGCAGCACGAGUUCCGGACGAGCGGCGUAGCGUCAUUCGUCGACGGACCCGAACAGCGCCUGCCCGAGGAACUGAACCGCACCAUUUCACUCGGAGUCGACGCAAGACAGGCGCCGAGCAAGGACCACUCUUUCACGCGAUCCCGAAUCCUCGACAAACGGAAGUGAAACUUCCGCCCGCGUGUGUGCUGUGGUGAGCUCACCGUGUGCUGCGGUGUUAUACGUGUGCCCUCUGCUUGCUGCCACUUGGGUGUUGACAGCAGAACCGUAAGCAACGUCACCGUCGGCUAGCAAACGCCAUCUGCUGUGGACCCAACAAGUGUACUCGGUCGUCCAGCAAUAACUCGACGGAGGAAGGCCGGGAGAAAGUCAUUUGCAAGCGUGCGUUCGUCAACCUCGACUCUCUCUGCACGAUUCGAGAAGUGAAGGCCUUCGUUGGCUUUGUCUGUGGCGAGAUCAAAGUCGGUGUGUUGCGAGUACUUUGAGCUAGCGUACACCUGUUUCCAACGCAGAACCGUGCGCGUGUGUGAGUGUGUGAGUGAUUUGGUGCCUUUCAGGUUGAAGACGAUUGCGCCCUGACAAACUGAACGUCUAGGCAUACAUUAGCACUGACAGAAAAAAGACCCUGCAAGGACGACAACGAAUCUCGACCGGCUGGGUGCUGCCGUACAUAGUCCUUUUAAUGCAGCCAUUUUGCGACUCGCUUUCUAGAUUCCGGUUGUCCUCGCCACCGCAGGUUCUUUCGUAACGAAUGCCAUCUUCCUGCGCGACUACGGCGUGAACUCCGAAAUACAGUAAGCUCUUGAGCAAACCCUGAUUUCGUUCCGCGGACCACCGAUCACGAGUACGGAUGAGCUGCAGCAUAUUUACGGGCUUUUAGCUCAACGGUCCGGUGCCGUCAACGACAGUGUUAAAGGUUCGGUUAUUGCAGUGUAGUCCCCUCACCACUGGC